UUAGAAAGCACAAGUUUUCCUCUUUCCACUCACUCCACGUUGCCUAAACCGCGGUUUCCUCUUCCCGGCGGCGCUGGGACUGCGGCAGCUGAGGCGCGCUCCGCUCCCGGGAACCUCGGGCCUUGGCGCGCCAUUUUCCGUCGCGCAGUUAGUUGCCGGGGCGUCCUGAGACCUUUUGAUCGGGUCCCUUUCGUCUCUAGGCCCCUCGGCGAUCUCCGAUCAGACUCACCCACCAGAGCACCGCCACAAAGGUCCGGGGAAGAAACCUCUCACCUCCCUGGAGUCUCAGCUCAGCGUUUGGGAAGGAACCGUUUAAAAACCCAGGAGCAGAAUAAUCUUGGGGAGAAGGGAAAAGCAGUUGUAACAUCCCCACGUGGCAAUAAAGAUGAAAACCUCGUGAAGUCCUGCUCGUCUCAUCAACAGGUGAUCGAAGGUGGGUAUGGCUGCUGCAUCUCCCUGGAGAAUCUUGUCACUUCAUCCUGGCAGCAGAACACUGCACUGCCACACGGUGCCAUGUGCCACCCCAACUGAGAAGAGGCUCUGCAGUAAAAAGGAGGCACGUGGAGUUGAGUAGCUGGAAGUAAUUUCCAUUUUAAUUUCCAUGCCUGUAUAACACAGUCUGUCACAUCAGUGUUGUCAUAUGUUCAUGGGCUGGCUUGGAAAGAGGAGGGAGCCUGAGGGGUGGGGCUGGCACUCCCGUUGCCAUUGGAGACAGAAUCUGGCUUUAGUUUUGUUGGAAGAGCAGUUCCAGUGGCUGUGAAUCCAGGCUGGGAGAAUGCUGGCAUCCCACCCUCUGGAGGGAGCCCUACUGGCGGAGUUUAAAUGCGGGACUUCUGCCUGGGGGAAUCUUUUGAGUCUGAAAUAUUCAUAUUCUCGGGAAAAUAUUCAUAUUCUCGGUGGAAGAGGGCAGCUAUUCCGUAAAUCUGUAAAUGAGCAUCAUUGAACCCUGUGUACUUUUCCCAAGUUAGGAAUGAGGUUAAACUGUCGGGGCGGGGGGUUUAACCGAUCUUUGGACUUGGCUGAAAGCGGGGAGCAGCAUUUCCCCUCCUCUUCCUUUGUAAACGUCGAGGAAAAUCCAGACUUGUUCUUUGAGCGCCCUCUGGUGGCAGUCAUCAAGAAUACUCCAGUUCUGUGGGUUUUGCGGGGAGUUAGGGACACCGAGGCUGCCUGGGCUUUCGGUAACAAGCAGUAGGAGAACAGAUGGUCUACCCUUUUAGUGGUGGGGCAAAGGGUCCGCUCCCUCCCUCUGCAAGGUAGCCGCCGUUCGGAAUCUGAGGAGUUGAAAUUCCUCCGGACGUCUGGCCCUGCUGAUGUGCACGUGUCCUGGGGUGCAGAGGACUGGGAAAUCUGCUCUGUGCUGCUUUGGCGCUCCUAUACUUGCUUACCCUUUUCUAGGUGGGCCUCAGUUUCCCAACCAGAUUGGCAGCUCCUCCAGCGCCAAGGUGGCACCUUAACCAUCUUUGAAGGGCGCCUCCGCUGCUGAUCCGAGUGCUUCCUGGAGGAACGCUAGAGCCGGGGCAGGUCACAAGGUGAACUGCACUGCGCGCCUCUGAGGCUGAUGCUGGGUGACCGACCGCGUCAGCUGCUUGCCUGCCUCCUGCGUGUGAAUUCUCAUAGGUCCUGACAGAUGGUGGCGGCUUUGACAGCUCGUCAGCUCCGUGAGGACGCUGGUCCCCACUCACUGCUCCUGGACCGCCAGCUCUGAUUCUGUGUGCCGGGCUUCUCCGCUAAUGCUUUAGGCUUGGAAGUGGGGACCUGUCUGGAGCAGCACGGCAGGAGUUCCAGGGCAGCCGUGGGGUUGGAACAAAGACCCGCGGCAGGAAUCACAGUGAGAAGUGCUCAAAUUCAACACGCAGACAUGACGCUCUGAAAGCUCAAGGAAAGCUCUAGAGAGCAGGGGGACUACGGCUCCAAGAGCAUCGGACAUGAAAACACCAGACCCAGGUUGGAGGCCUGGUUCUGCGUCUCUGGGAGGCUCCCUGAACCCAGUAUCUGUAUAACUUUGGUGUACAUGUUUUCCAAAGACCCUUUGCCAGAUCCGAUAGUCUUUUCAAUAUACAUACGAUGUAUUUUAAAAUAGCUAAUGGUGUGUGUUCAAUGGCCUGGGGUUGUUUGCUACCACUUUCAUUGAUGAGAACUAGAAUCUGCAACUCAAGAAUUCUUGUCGUCGUCCUCAUUGGUGGGGCAUUGCCUGGACACCACUGCCCCCUUGUGGCAGCAAAUCUAAUUUUGUAGGUUGAUGAUAAGAAAUUCCACAAUUCGCAAAACCUUAUAAACUUGGAUAUAUAAAAGGGUUGAAGAAGGUCCCCAAAGCUUUAUUCAUCGCUGAAAGGGACAUAUUCUUGUAACAAGAUCAGAUGCCUUAGUCAUUCACCCCCUUAAUGCCUUGGCUUUACUUCAAGUUAGUAAUUUAGAAGUGAUCUUUAAGUGGGUUUACAGCCAGAUUACCUAAAUCCGCUCAUAAAUUGACUCACAGAUUAAAAUGUGCCAACUUCUGAGACUUGGUACGCUUCACCAGAGUGGAUUCAUUAAAAAGAGAAAUGACGCUAAGCCCUGGUGGCACUUGUAGGUAUUAAACACCCCAUUUGUGUGAAGACAACCUUUUCUUUCUUCUUUUUAUGGAGGUAAGAUUUACAAAAUGUAAAAUCAGCCACUUUAAAGUGAACCAUUCGGUGGAAUUUAUGAUGUUAUGUAACCGUCUAUUUUCUUUCAUCAUUCCCAAAGAAAACUCCUGUACCUAUGCAGUUAGUACCCAGUCCCCAGUUCCCAAUCCCCAGUUACCUGGAAACCACCAGUUUGCAUUGUGUCUCUGUGGAUUUACCUCAUUCUAGUAAAUGAAGUGGAAUCCUACUGUAUUUGUCCUUCUGUAUUUGGCUUUCACUGAGUGUAAGGUCUUUGAGGUUCAUACACGCCGUAGCAUGUAUCAGAACUUCAUUCCUUUUUAUGGCUGAAUAAUAUUCUAUUACAAAUCUAUCACUCAUCCACUGAUGGCCAUUUGAGUUGUUUUCACAUUUUGGCUCUUGUGAAUAGUGCUUCUUUGGAUAAUCAUCUACAAAUUUGUUUUUGAGUCCCUGUUUUCAAUUCUUUGAGGGUAUAUAUCUAAGAAUGGAAUUUCUGGGUCAUAUAGUAAGUCUAUGCUUAACUCUUUUUUUUUUUUUUUUUUUUUUUGUCUUUUUGCUAUUUCUUGGGCCGCUCCCGCGGCAUAUGGAGGUUCCCAGGCUAGGGGUCCAAUCGGAGCUGUAGCCACCGGCCUACGCCAGAGCCACAGCAACGCGGGAUCCGAGCCGCGUCUGCAACCUACACCACAGCUCACAGCAACGCCAGAUCGUUAACCCACUGAGCAAGGGCAGGGACCGAACCCGAAACCUCAUGGUUCCUAGUCGGAUUCGUUAACCACUGCGCCACGACGGGAACUCCUGUUUAACUUUUUAAUAAACUGAGACUUCAGAAUGAUGUGUCAUAGGAGGGGAAGAUGAUCUCCACCAGCAUCUGAUGGAGAAUAAUUCCUACCACCUCUUUAUUUAUUCUCCCAGAUCUGUUGCAGCUUUGUGAGCUGGCUGGCGUGACUUUACUUGGCUGGGGUGAGGGGUUCUGGUUGGCUCCACAUGUCUGGGAAAUACCUUUCAGAGAUAGAUGCUCUUCUCAAGGUGCAUAGCAGGAGCCCAGGAGACCAAACCGAUCUAUGCACACACAUUAAAAGCCUCUCCCGGCAUCACAUCUGCUGCCAUUUCAUUGGCCAAAGUCCCAUGGCCAAGCCCAGCUUUAGUGGAGAAGAGAUGUAAGAGUCGUUGGCUCUAUUGGGAGCCCUACAAAGUCACAGGGCAGAGUGGAGCUGUAUCGUGGUAUUAGAGGCAAAGAGUAAGGAAGGGGAACGAUUAUACCUCACCAUCCCAAUGGCUUGUUUUCUCUCUGUAAGGGGCUAGGAGUGUUUUUAAUAUUUAAUUUACUUUUUCUCUUUCAUAUUUACAUUGCAUCAAGGACAUUCACGAUCUUGGUGCAAAUGUGUUGGCGCUGUGGGACGAGCGUCGUUGGACAACUUUCAAACCACAGCGCCAGGGCAGCCAAGCAUCCUGACGACCGGAAGUGCCUGUGGGGAAGCUGGACUUGCACUUAGAUUGCACUUGGAGACCUCCAGCCUCCUCUAACCCAGGCCUCUUAAGGAAUGUGAAUCAAUAAGUGGCAUAAAUUAUUCACCUCAAGGAACAUUCUCAGAAAUGAACGUCAGACUGGAGAAAUCGCCAGCAGGGUAUUCGCUCUUUUCAGUGUUUGGCUCUCGGCUCACCUUCUGAAUGGCUGGGCCUGUCUAAGCUAUGAAACAUUCAGAUUUCAGAGAAGAAUGAUGACUCUAAGUUGUGCUGAGAUUUCAAGGCAACUCUGAGUUUCCUUUUCAGCCUCUUCCGCAGGGUCAGGGAAAGAGCGUGUGGGCACAGUGUCAUUGUGGGCAAUGCCAUAGGACCCCUCUGUGCCGUGAUCUCAGGGUCUGGAAAGGACCUGUCCUCUGUUCAAACAGGCCUUUUCUCCUUGCUGGCUGAGAUAUCAGAAAUUCAACCCCUCUCUUAAAACCAUUCCAAGGGCUUUGCCUCUUUGGAAGGCUCCUUUCAAACUGCAAAGCCUCAGGAGGGGAGGAGAGGAAAAUUAAAAUGUAUUGAACACCUUCUGGGAUUUUUUUUCAUUGUCACUCAUCCUCCCCCACAAAAUAGAUAUGCUUUGCAAACUUGCUUUGUUAGUUUUUUCUUUUAAAUUGUUGGAAGUUCCUUUCCAUAUGCUGCAGGUGUGGCCCUAAGAAAACAUAACAAAUAAACAAACAAAAAAGACACACAUUGUGGACACACUAUACACACACACACACACACACACACACAAAACCCAUGUAAUUUUCAUGAAUACAUAAGUAAGGAAAAUGACUGGAAGCGAGUAUAUUUUAAGUAUUAAUAUUGGUUAUUUCGGGGGGGGUGUGCAUACUUACUACAGUACUCUAUAUUCUUUCUUGAAUUUUACAGCAAAAAUGUCAAUAUUUUAUUUUAUUUUUUAAUGAUGAUCUAGGAAAGAGAGAGGGUAUUUGUUUUGUUUGGGGGGGGUUGUCUUUUUUUUGUUUUUUCUAGGGUGGUGUCUGAGGCAUGUGGAGGUUUCCAGGCUAGGGGUCUAAUGGGAGCUGUGGCUGCCGGCCUACACCACAGUCACAACAACGCUGGAUCAGAGCCUCGUCUGUGACCUACACCACAGCUCAUGGCAACACCGGAUCCUUGACCCACUGAGCAAGACCAGGGAUCGAGCCUGCAACCCCAUGGUUCCUAGUCGGAUUCAUUAACCACUGAGCCACGAUGGGAACUCUUCAGCAUUUUAAAAAAAGGAAAAAAAAACUGCCCAAGAGUAAUAAUUUUCUACUAUUUAUAAAAUAUGUGAAGUUUCUUGAACAAUGUACCAAUUAUGUCAAAUUGCUGUAA
rnacentral:lncRNA from 9 species